CGUAGGGUCCGAGCGUUAAUCGGAAUUACUGGGCGUAAAGCGUGCGCAGGCGGUUCGCAAAGACAGGUGUGAAAUCCCCGGGCUUAACCUGGGAACUGCGCUUGUAACUAGCGGGCUAGAGUGCGGCAGAGGGGGUGGAAUUCCACGUGUAGCAGUGAAACGCGUAGAUCUGUGGAGGAACACCGAUGGCGAAGGCAGCCCCCUGGGUCGACACUGACGCUCAUGCACAAAAGCGUGGGGAGCAAACAGGAUUAGAUACCCUGGUAGUCCACGCCCUAAACGAUGGCAACUAGUUGUUGGGGGAUGAACUCCCUUAGUAACGCAGCUAACGCGUGAAGUUGCCCGCCUGGGGAGUACGGUCGCAAGAUUA
rnacentral:rRNA from 1 species